CAUCAUAAAAUGCAUCAGAAAUCAUCUGAAGAAGCAUACUUAUGGACUGGUAAGAAAAAAAAAGACAAAAAUGCAAAUGUUUUGAAUUAGGUUUUAAUCGUUAACUUUCUUAUUUCCAGGCAGGUGAUCAUCAGAUCAACUUUGGCCACUACGUCACGCUGUUUGACACAGAAAAAGACAAACACCUACGAGUCGUGCCAAAACUGACGCGAGCCCAUGUUGCGCCUGACAACCUUCAGAAGAUGAGUGUCAGGCUUGCCACCCAGCUGUUCAGCCGUAGCACAGCAGUUGGCAUCAAGCUGUACAGAGAAGCCAAAGUGCCAGGCAUGGAAAACUCUGAAGGCACUGAAACAUUCACCAGGAUAUCUUUUUGAUGCUUUGAACAUCAAGCUACCAUCGAGAGGAGUGAGGCGCCACUCGAAAGAAAUACAGAUCCUAAAAGCCUUCUUGGAGAUGCUCAACACGACAGAACGAAAUUCAGUCGAAAAGAACCUGAAGCUUUUUGCGUCACAGCAAACAACACAGUCUUUAAGAGUCACUUUGCUGUCUACCAUAGACAUCAUUGAAUACUUGCUGACUCAAGGUGCCCACUAUGUCCUUACGGCAAAGUUAAAUCAGGACCCCUUGGAGCGACACUUCGGGCUGGCACGCUCAUUUGGAGGUGACGAAUCUCACCCGACUGUUGUCAACUUCAGUCAAAUAUUCCGCCUCCUCAGCCUCUACACACCGAUAAAGACAGCUCUGCGUGGUAGUGUGCAAGGCACACCGUGUUCUGUGCUCAUUAGUGUUACUGACACACUCAAGAGAACAAAGGAUGCCCACCAAGAAGAGAAAG